UACAGAGGGGGCAAGCGUUAUUCGGAAUUAUUGGGCGUAAAGGGCGCGUAGGCGGCCUGGCAAGUGGAUGGUGAAAUCCCUCGGCUUAACCGAGGAACUGCCAUCCAGACUGCUUGGCUUGAGACCGGGAGAGGUGAAUGGAAUUCCCAGUGUAGCGGUGAAAUGCGUAGAUAUUGGGAGGAACACCAGUGGCGAAGGCGGCUCACUGGACCGGUACUGACGCUGAGGCGCGAAAGCGUGGGGAGCAAACGGG
rnacentral:rRNA from 1 species